UGUGAUAUUUUAGUAGUGUAUAUGUGCAAUCUUAGUCUUAUGUAUAUGUGUGAGAAAGAAAAAUUAUAUGCAGGUGUGAUAUUUUAAUAGUAUAUCUGUGCAAUUUUAAUAUUUUGUGUGUGGAUAUGAGUCUAUAGUAGUGUUUGAGAGACAAAACAUAGUUUUUGUCCUAGAUGGCCCCUCAUAGUUUCAAACUGAUCAUAUAGACGCAUCAGUCAAAUGUGACUUUUUUAAAGGUGACAUUAUUAACCCAGUUGCAGUCAAAAGGUGACUAUCAACAGUUCAUAUUUUUAUAACAUGCAUUUCUUUUAUAAAUGUAUCACACCUUUCGGUUUUGCAGGAUUGCUUUUUAAGAAAAUUUAUUCUCUUUCAUUUCUGAUCUGAAUUUGACAAAUUUCUGAAAUGUGUUUGGUUUCAUUUGACGUAUUCCAGGCCCUCAUUUUGCUGCUGUCAACAAUAACAACGAAAUUGUUGUGACUGAUUUUCACAAUCACUCAGUCAAGGUCUUUAACACAGAAGGGGAGUUCCUGCUGAAGUUUGGUUCUAACGGCGAAGGUAACGGCCAGUUCAAUGCCCCCACUGGCGUGGCAGUGGACAUCAAUGGGAAUAUUAUUGUAGCGGACUGGGGCAACAGCAGGAUACAGGUGUUUGAUGCCAGUGGUUCCUUCCUCUCCUACAUCAACACGUCGGCAGACCCGCUCUACGGCCCACAGGGACUGGCACUCACCUCUGACGGACAUGUGGUGGUCGCAGAUUCUGGCAACCACUGCUUCAAAGUCUACCGCUAUCUGCAGUAGCUCACCUUUCUACACCUGCUUACUACCAGGAAAUAGUAGACUGGAAAGACUGGAACACUCUGCAUUCAUCAACUCAUCCAUUCAUUCUUUCCACUGUGCCAUCUGUUAGGCUUUUUUCUUGAUUCUGAAGCAAUAACUCAUCACAGGUAGUUGUUGCUGGUUAGUGUUUUGAAGAAGUUGAUCACGACUUUCACAAGACAUUUGGAGUGUGCUAACAUGAAGCUUUAAUAGCGAUACACCCAGAACUUGUCAACAGAUUUUAGGAAACUGGAAACAAACUGCUGCACUGGUUUUGAAAAUGACUUGCUUGUUAAGUGAGAAUAAGAUGUGUAUAUUAAACUACAGUUUAGGUACCUCAGAAAUAUACAGAUAUUAUUGCACUUUUCUGAUAAAAUGCCCUUAAUAUGCCUCACAAUUUGCCUGUUCACUCUCAGAAUAAAAAAAUUAGUGUAGGAUGAUUUGAAGCAUGACCACACAAUACUAUGCAUGCUGUUUUUAGCAAACAUCUUAUCUACUACAGUGUACUGCAUUGAAACUACAGAGUUCAGUAUCACAAGCUUAUCACUUAAAAUGCCUCCACAGUUUCAGUUUUUCAAUAUUUCCAUCAAAAAACAGCUAUUUGGUUCUGUUAUAAUUUUAAGAAGAACUGAUUUCUUGAUUGGUUUGAAGAAAACGAAAUGGAUGCAUUUACAUCACAAACAUGGGCCACCUGAUAUUGACCUGAGUGGAUCGCAACGAGUGACAUGAAUAAAUAUUUCAAUUACAUAAUUAAAAUUAAUUUGGAUAUACAGAUGAUAAAUAAAUGUAUCCUGGAUUAUUUGUGUCAAUAUUUAUUUAAAAUAUAAUGGUUUAAUUGUGAAAUUUCUUUAAUCUUAAAGUGUUAUAUUUUAAGAUCCAUUAAAAUUAUUUUGAUAUUUAUUUAAUUAAUUUGUUCUCCAUAUAUUGUAUGAGGGUCCAAAAUGCCACAAGCCUACUCUAAUAAGUUCAUUCAAUAUUUCAAAAGGUAUUUAUUAUACAAGUGUAGUAUAUUAUUAAUUGUACAAGUCAAUAAAAGUGUACAUUUUAAAAUAAAACUUGAAUCAUUAUGAAAUUAAAGUCCGUUGGAAAAUAUUAGCCUACUGUCACUUUGGUUCAUACCACAAGUGAUAUUAUAUGAUAUUCUACAACAGAAUGGAGACAGUUUUAUUUUUAUUAUGAUCACUUAUAAAUAUUCCACAACUUGUUUAUUGAACAUUUGGCCCUCAAUAGUGCAGCAAUUAACCAUGAAAUAACUUAGACAGUCAGGCAACAAAUGUGUUAUUUUUUAAAAUAAAUAUUUUAGCAUCAUAUUUCAUAAUUAUCCAUAGAUUGCUUCAAAAUAAACUGACACAUCUAAAUAUUCAUGUUUUAUUUAACUGUUUGUUUGUGAUAGUGUUUGGAUCUCCAUAGGCAUCAGCUGUGCAUACAUGUGUAUAUGAUGUGCCUGAGAUUCAGAUGUGCAGAAAUCCUGUUUGAAAACUUUGGCCAUUUUGGGGAAAUAUGGCUUUAAUUUUGCAUCACUGGUUCCAGAACUGCUAAGCUUUAAUAACCCUCACUUAUCCUAAUAUGCUAUUAUGUCUUUUCAAUAUCUCUGCAAUUGCUAGUUACAGGUUGGUGGUUAUCUUGCAGAUCUAGAAGAUGUGAUAUGUAUAUAAACAUUUGGUGCAUAUGAUGUAAAAUAGGAUCCACUUUUGUUUUAAGGCCUUUACCAUAAACAAUCUUGAAACACACAACUGGUAUUUGUCUUCAUGAGGUCAGUCAUUCAAUUUCUACACAAGACUGUAAAGUAGUUUAUUUACUUUUUUUUUUUGUCUUGUAUAUAGUUGUAAUUCCAAAUUGAAUUAAAGAGCCAACGGGGAAAAAUGUUUGGGUUCAUGGGGGAGAACGCGUGUAAGGAGAAAAAAAUUGUAAUUUAAAGAAAAAUUAGUUUUAUAUUGCGAUGUUGCUACUAUAAUGCAGAAGAGGGCAGCACUAGAAUAGAUGAUCAAGCUGAUGCCUUCGAGGACGAUUGGGGAAAAAAUCUCUAUGCAGAUUACCUAGACAUGUACUACCACUUUUUACUAGUUAAAAUAGUUACUUUCAGUUUCCCUUAUGAUCCUCAGUCACUUCAUUUUAGCAAAAAUGUCCAGUUUUCUUGCAACACAUCUGUGUUAAAUGGUAGUGGGAGAAUUUACGAGUAGACUUGAAUGCAGCAUUCACCCCUGACACUGUCGCGGGAGAUUCAGUAGCACCCAGGCGAUGUUUUUGUAGUUUGGAUUACAGAUAUACUGACAGUAGUAUUUUGCGGUUAAACUACCCUAAACGUUGUUACCGGUGUAACUGGUGCAGUCCCGCCUGAAAAUGUCAAAAAAGAAAGGACUCAGUUUGGAAGAGAAGAGAAUUCGGAUGAUGGAGAUUUUCUUUGAAUCUAAGGACGUGUUUCAGCUUAAAGACAUUGAGAAGAUUGCCCCCAAGUCAAAGGGCAUUGGUGAGUAAAUAUAAACAGUUU